CCAAAUGUAAGUACUUGUACUCCGUCUGAAAUAAAGUGGUAUCGGUGCAUCCCUAGUCAGUACCCAUCACAGGAUUUCCCGGCAGUCGAUCCACCGCUGCCAUCGCCAUCUCUGGACCCGAGCCGCUUUAGUAGCUAAAAAGACAAAUACUGAAACCGUGAUGAUAUGAAAUGCCGGAGAGAAAUUAACACUAAGUCAAUAUUUUUGAACCAUUUAUUGAGAGGUUCUCAUCAGAGUAUAAAUCACACUACCAAGUCUUAUCUUAGGAAAUAAAAUGUAUUUACAACAAAUUUUUCACAUACAUUGGUUUCAAAUAAAAACAGACAGUAAAUGAUAUAAAUAAGUUCUAUGGAAAAUAAAACUUGUCUUACAAAAAA